AGCGAACGCUGGCGGCAGGCCUAACACAUGCAAGUCGAACGGCAGCACAGUAAGAGCUUGCUCUCACGGGCGGCGAGUGGCGGAAGGGUGAGGAAUACACCGGAAUCCACUUUUUCGUGGGGGAUAACGUAGGGAAACUUAUGCUAAUACAGCAUACGACCUACGGGUGAAAGCAGGGGUUCUUUGGACUUUGCGCGAUUGAAUGAGCCGAUGUCGGAUUAGCUAGUUGGCGGGGCAAAGGCCCACCAAGGCGACGAUCCGUAACUGGUCUGAGAGGGUGGUCACACAGACUGGAAGUGAGACACGUUCGCGACACCUGCGGUGGGCAACGGUGGGGAAUAUUGGGCGAUGCAGGCGAGCCUAAUCCAGCCAUACCGCGUAGAGGAAGAAGCCCUUCGGGUGGUAGAGCCCUUUUGUUGGGAGGGAAAAACAGCAGGUUAAUACCCCACGAUUCUGACGGUACCCAAAGAAUAAGCUCCGGCUAACUUCGUG
rnacentral:rRNA from 1 species